CCUACGGGAGGCAGCAGUGAGGAAUAUUGGUCAAUGGACGAGAGUCUGAACCAGCCAAGUAGCGUGAAGGAUGACUGCCCUAUGGGUUGUAAACUUCUUUUAUAUGGGAAUAAAACGUUCCACGUGUGGGAUUUUGUAUGUACCAUAUGAAUAAGGAUCGGCUAACUCCGUGCCAGCAGCCGCGGUAAUACGGAGGAUCCGAGCGUUGUCCGGAUUUAUUGGGUUUAAAGGGAGCGUAGGUGGAUUGUUAAGUCAGUUGUGAAAGUUUGCGGCUCAACCGUAAAAUUGCAGUUGAAACUGGCAGUCUUGAGUACAGUAGAGGUGGGCGGAAUUCGUGGUGUAGCGGUGAAAUGCUUAGAGAUCACGAAGAACUCCGAUUGCGAAGGCAGUUCACUGGACUGCAACUGACACUGAGGCUCGAAAGUGUGGGUAUCAAACAGGAUUAGAUACCCUGGUAGUC
rnacentral:rRNA from 1 species